UAUAGAGCAUGGCCGGUCCCCUUGGGAGAGAGGGUGGCCGGCCUCUUGUGUAUGUUUUGGGUGCAAUUGGUGAUUUAAUUGGCAAUUAAUGAAUUAAUUAGGUAAUAAAUCCAUUAAUUAGCCAAUUAACAUAAUUUAAAAUGAAUGUUUUGGAGGUUAUGGAAUAAUUACUUUGUGGAUAAUACAGGGUGAGGAUGGAUGAAAUAAUUUUGAAUUUGUUACUUAUUUAGGCAACUUUGACUUGAUUGAGGGAUGAUUGUCCACUGCUCGCGCAUAGAAAUCCCGAUGUGCCUCAAGGGUAAUUUUGUCCUUUUUACCCAAAAAUCCACGUGUCGCCUCUUGAUUGUUUUUGGCUCCACAUAUGCAAACUUAAUUUUGCACCCAAACACGAUUUUCAAAAUGCUAACCUACGUUUCGCAUCCUCACAUUGUCCAAAGGUUUUGAAAUUGUAUCGAUGUGAAAUCUUAUUCCCGAAUUUCACUGUUCAAUUAUCGUGCCUCACAAUUUUGUGAAAUUAUUUUACUUUCAUUAAUUGAUUUUUAGCUUCUUAAAGUUUGAUUUUCGUAAGUAACAAUAAAAAAUCCAUUGACCUUUUGAAAUCACUCUUAAUAUUUUUGGAUAGAGCUCGAUAACACAAACGUGCAGGCGAAAACCGUUUUGCCAAUCGGAUUUGUAACUAAAGAGAUAUAAGCUUGCAAAGGCAAGGGCAAAUUAAUCUUUUGCGCACUUAUAUAUAGCUAGAGAGGGGGGGCAGACAAAGGGGAUGGACUGGACCUAUGUGCGACUUGGACUUCUUCUUCCUUACCAAGGUUUAACCCAUUUUCUCGACAAAUUUCAGGGGGCUUUUCUAACCGAUUCCAAGGAUGGAAUCUGCCCCCUCCACCACCAUUUAAACCGUCUCACCCU
rnacentral:lncRNA from 1 species